rnacentral:rRNA from 1 species
AUGGCAAAAAUCCACGUGGAUGGGGGUCUAGCGAGGGUAGGGAAUGGAGGUUCAUCUGCAGCUUUAUGCCGGGAUAAGGAUGGCACAUACCUGGGCUCUUCCGCGAUGGUUUUUAGUGACAUUCAUGACCCGGCGACUCUAGAAACGCUUGCAUGCAGAGAAGCUAUGGCACUUGAGCAAGAUCUCUCUCUAAGAAGAAUCGUUAUUGCAUGUGACUGCAAAACAGUGGUGGAAGAGAUUCAUAAGGGGUCGGCUGGCCUUUAUAGUGUGAUCAUCAAGGAGAUUGAAGCUUCAGCUAGGGAUUUUGAUAGCUGUGUUUUUACUUUUGAAAGUUGUGUUUUGAACUUUGAGGCCCAUAGUUUGGCCAAGUUUUCUUCGUCGUUAGCAGUGGGUCGCCAUGUGUGGCUGGGCUUUCCCCAUGACCCGUUUAUUAUUCCUGUAAACCGAACCCCGUCUUGA